UCGGAAGCCAGGCAGGGGCGGGCCUGGUUAGUACUUGGACGGGAGACUGCCUGGGAAUACCAGGUGCUGUAAGCUU
rnacentral:rRNA from 1 species